rnacentral:rRNA from 1 species
UUGCUCUUCAACGAGGAAUGCCUAGUAGGCACGAGUCAUCAGCUCGUGCCGAUUACGUCCCUGCCCUUUGUACACACCGCCCGUCGCUACUACCGAUUGAAUGGCUCAGUGAGGCCUUCGGACUGGCUCAGAGGGGUUGGCAACGACCGCUCAGAGCCGGAAAGUUGGUCAAACUUGGUCAUUUAGAGGAAGUAAAAGUCGUAACAAGGUUUCCGUAGGUGAACCUGCGGAAGGAUCAUUACCGAGUGCGGGCCCUCGCGGCCCAACCUCCCACCCUUGUCUCUAUACACCUGUUGCUUUGGCGGGCCCACCGGGGCCACCUGGUCGCCGGGGGACGCACGUCUCCGGGCCCGCGCCCGCCGAAGCGCUCUGUGAACCCUGAUGAAGAUGGGCUGUCUGAGUACUGUGAAAAUUGUCAAAACUUUCAACAAUGGAUCUCUUGGUUCCGGCAUCGAUGAAGAACGCAGCGAAAUGCGAUAAGUAAUGUGAAUUGCAGAAUUCCGUGAAUCAUCGAAUCUUUGAACGCACAUUGCGCCCCCUGGCAUUCCGGGGGGCAUGCCUGUCCGAGCGUCAUUUCUGCCCUCAAGCACGGCUUGUGUGUUGGGUGUGGUCCCCCCGGGGACCUGCCCGAAAGGCAGCGGCGACGUCCGUCUGGUCCUCGAGCGUAUGGGGCUCUGUCACUCGCUCGGGAAGGACCUGCGGGGGUUGGUCACCACCAUGUUUUUACCACGGUUGACCUCGGAUCAGGUAGGAGUUACCCGCUGAACUUAAGCAUAUCAAUAAGCGGAGG